CAGGAGGGCAAGUGGCACCCUUCUGUGGAAGUAAAUUUGCCUUGCUGAGAAAUUCUUUGUUUGAGUGCUCAUUUUCCUUGCGACUCCAAGCUCUUAUUUCCAAUAGGGAAAUCUUUGACCCGUUUAUGUAACAAAGGAUGAGAUAGAAAGACAGAAAUGCUCAAGGAUGGAAAGAAAAGUGAGUGAGCAAGAGAGAUUAAGAGACAGACAGUCAGAGUGUAACUUGGAAAAGUGGCGAAGAAAAUCUCAGGAAAAAAGGAGCACUCCACGACUGCUGAGGGUUCAAGAAGAGGAGGACAGAGAAUUGAUGCUGUAUGUGCCUGAACAAGACAAUUGACAACCUUGAUGAGAGCAGUUUCAGUGGAAUAGUCAGGGACAGAAAACCUGGAUUGGAGCAUGCUAAGGAAUGGAAGUAGAGAUGUGAGUACCUACGACUCUUCCAAGGAAGACUUUCUAACUGUUUUAAGGAAAGCACUCAGGGGUGCCCAGCAGGACAGCCUCCAGCUCUUCCAAUCAGAGCUGUAACACCAUUUCCUGAAACAUCAUUUUCAACUAAGCUUUGGAGUGACAAAAAUACCUGUUAUCACGGACUAAUGCCUCCAGGAAAGAAAUCCUUGUGAUAUGUAUCUGUCCCCAAUAUGGCCACAGUAAAUCUGAGAGGAAGAAGGCACAGACGGUGUCUGGCUCUGUCGCCCAGGCUGGAGUGCAGUGGCGCGAUCUCGGCUCACUGCAAACUCCGCCUCCCGGGUUCACGCCAUUCUCCUGCCUCAGCCUCCCGAGUAGCUGGGACUACAGGCGCCCGCCACUACGCCCGGCUAAUUUUUUGUAU
rnacentral:antisense_RNA from 1 species